GUUUCUGUAGUAUAGUGGUUAUUACGUUUGCUUCACACGCAAAAGGUCCCUAGUCCGUAACUGGGAGGAAACA